GAAAUGCGAUAAGUAAUGUGAAUUGCAGAAUUCAGUGAAUCAUCGAAUCUUUGAACGCACCUUGCGCUCCUUGGUAUUCCGAGGAGCAUGCCUGUUUGAGUGUCAUGAAAUUCUCAACCUAACGAGUCUUUGCGGGCUCGAUAGUGUUGGACUUGGAGGUUCUUGUCGGCUUCGCGGUCGGCUCCUCUCAAAUGCAUUAGCUCGGUUCCUUGCGGAUCGGCUCACGGUGUGAUAAUUGUCUACGCCGCGACCGUUGAAGCGUUUUGGCCGGCUUCCAAUCGUCUCGUUAGAGACAGUACACUUAUGACCUUCUGACCUCAAAUCAGGUAGGACUACCCGCUGAACUUAA
rnacentral:rRNA from 1 species